GAUAAAAUACCAAAUGGCUAGAUGCAGAAUAUCAGAGAGUAAAGUGGCCUUCGAAUCAAACAAUCUUUUUCAUGAGAUCCUCGUUGUAUACAUCAUCAUCAUGGUAGUACAAAUCACACCAGCUAUCCACACUUCAUAGUUGCAUGGUCGAUCUCGUUGACUACUUGCCGGGGACGAAGUUGGUGGCGAAGGCCCACGCAUUGUUGUUGACAGGGUCAGCAAGGUGGUCGGCGAGGUUCUCAAGUGGGCCCUUGCCGGUGACAAUGGCCUGUACAAAGAAGCCGAACAUGGAGAACAUGGCGAGACGGCCAUUCUUGAUCUCCUUCACCUUGAGCUCUGCGAAUGCCUCGGGGUCGUCGGCAAGGCCGAGUGGGUCAAAGCUGCCGCCGGGGUAGAGAGGGUCAACGAUCUCGCCGAGCGGGCCACUGGCAACACGGUAUCCCUCGACGGCGCCCAUGAGAACGACCUGGCAGGCCCAAAUGGCGAGGAUGCUCUGGGCAUGGACGAGGCUCGGGUUGCCGAGGUAGUCAAGGCCCCCCCUCAGUGAAGAUCUGAGAGCCGGCCUUGAACCAGACGGCCUCGCCGAACUGAACACCAUUGCGGGCGAGAAGCUCAGGGAAGACGCAACCGAGCGCGCCAAGCAUGGCCCAACGACAGUGGAUCACCUCAAGCUCGCGGUUCUUGGCAAAGGUCUCGGGGUCCGCUGAGAGCCCGGCGGUGUCCCACCCAUAGUCGCCGGGAAACUCACCGGUUAGGUAACUCGGGGGCUCGCCAGAGAGCGGGCCGAGGUACAGCACACGGUCGGAGCCGUACCACGGGCUGCUCGAGGAGAUUGGCUUGGCCUUGGCGGCGGUCUUGCGCAUGGUGCCCCGGCCUCACCGAAGAGAGUCGAUGACGGCAUGUUCUUCACCGUCUUGCCAGCGAAGGCCGAAGAAGAGAGAGACAUGGUAGUGGCUGCCAUUGCGCUAGCUCUUAAAACGGUGGUGGUCGAACUCUAUGCUUCUAAUAGUAUUCUGUGAGUGUGAAGGACUGAAGAUGGAUUCAGAAGGGAGGAGGAGGGAGCUACUUAAAGAAGUGAGAAGAGAAGACAGAGGGAAUUGAUCUGUGCUGGCAAGAGAGACACAGCCUGAGAAAUCUGAUGCCACCAUCUCAUUGGUGCAGCGGCCAUCCGGGUACAGUUGGCGCAGGGACAUCCUCAAGGGGAUGGGAUAUAGUCGUGGGUAGGGCUUGGGGAUUCUGCAUGUGCACUACAAUUUGUUGUACAACUAAUAAGUUAUUGAGUUUAAUCAGUUAUUGAGGAUUCUGCAUGUGCACUUACAAUUUGUUGUACAACUAAUAAGUGUUAAUUUGCUUCCUCCGAAGGUAAUAGUCAAAAGAAGUUUUUUGUUGGUAAACUGAUAGUAAACAUGCUCGAUCAACAUGUAUUGUCCACAUAUGGAGUUAAAAAUGAAUUAGCCAGUCGUGGGGCCAUAAUUUAGCCUUUGCUCAUGUACAUAGUAACUUUAUAUAAUCCGUGCUUUUAUAGUAUUGACCGUGACGGGGUGAAACCAGAUGGCACGAUCCACCUGUAAGAACAAAAGGAUUCGGGUUAAAAGCUUUAGUGGGAUCAUUAGUGACUGAACUUUUGCUAAAUGGGGUCAAAAAAGAAAUCACACUAAAUGAAACCAAAGCUGUAAGAAACAUAAAUUGAGGGGUCAAAAAAUAGAAUUCACUCUUUUAUGAACGUGUGAGGAAAGAAAUUAUUUCAUAAUUAAUGAAAAUAAAAGUCAGCGGAAUGGGGAACAUUGUUACGCGAGGUUAUUGGGUUUGAGUAAUUUAGAUGAUUGUUUUUAAUCUUUGCUUGUAUAAUAAAAACAUCAUUUUUAUUUUGGCGUGCAGAAAAGAUGACAGAUAGAUCUUGUGAUCACAGAUAUGAUGCUCUAAUUGUUGCCUCUGAGUUUCUGUAUUCUAUAUCCGGGAAGCAGCCCCAUGCGUGCCCUGCAAAAUUAGUAUGACUAAGAUUGUUAUUUUUGUAUAUACUUCCUUGUUAAUUGGGAUCUUUCUUAUCGACCAAAUCACCUAAUCCCAUCAAAAUUCUUUUAUGUCCUUUUCAUUGGCCUGGGUAUUUCUAGAUUUUGUAGUUAGUUCUGGAAUAUCCAUCCCUGAAAAAGGAAUGCGGUACACGUCAUUUUUACGGUAAGUUUGUUCACUUCCACGAGAGUAUGUAUUGCUCUGAUAAAACAUUGGGGGACAUCACAAAGUGUCUACUUCAAAAUCUGACAAUCUUUUGUUCAUAAGAUCCUCGUAAUUAAUUUACAUCAUCAUCGUGGUAGUACAAGUGAAACCAGCUACACACACUUGGUCGCGAGCAUAGUCGAUUUGCAUAUACACAUGUGCCUCUCAUUGACACCUUACUUGCCGGGAACGAAGUUGGUGGCAAAGGCCCACGCGUUGUUGUUGACGGGGUCGGCAAGGUGGUCAGCGAGGUUCUCAAGGGGACCCUUGCCGGUGACGAUGGCCUGAACGAAGAAGCCGAACAUGGAGAACAUGGCGAGGCGGCCGUUCUUGAUCUCCUUCACCUUGAGCUCAGCGAACGCCUCAGGGUCGUCAGCCAAGCCAAGGGGGUCGAAGCUGCCGCCGGGGUAGAGAGGGUCGACGAUCUCACCGAGCGGACCACCAGCAACACGGUACCCCUCGACGGCGCCCAUGAGCACGACCUGGCAAGCCCAGAUGGCGAGGAUGCUCUGGGCAUGGACGAGGCUCGGGUUGCCAAGGUAGUCGAGGCCGCCCUCGCUGAAGAUCUGGGAGCCGGCCUUGAACCAGACGGCCUCGCCAAACUUGACGCCGUUGCGGGCAAGCAGCUCGGGGAAGACGCAACCGAGCGCGCCGAGCAUGGCCCACCUGCAGUGGAUCACCUCCAGCUCCCGGUUCUUGGCGAAGGUCUCGGGGUCAGCCGAGAGCCCGGCGGUGUCCCACCCGUAAUCGCCGGGGAACUCACCGGUCAGGUAGCUCGGGGGUUCGCCGGAGAGCGGGCCGAGGUACAACACGCGGUCGGAGCCGUACCACGGGCUGCCUGAGGAGACCGGCUUGGCCUUGGCAACGGUCUUGCGCAUGGUGAUGCGGGCCUCUCCGAGCGCCGGCAGGUUCUUCACCGCCUUCCCGGCGAAGGUCGAGGAGGAGAGGGCCAUGGUGGCGGUCGCCAUUGAUGUACUGCUGUACCGUGCUCUCCUAAGAGUGUGAGGCUGGCUCUGGUGUGCGUGGAGAUGGUUUGAGAUGGGCAGAGGAGGUAGCUAUUUAACGGUGCUCUGUGGGUACAGAGAAGGGAAGAUGAUGAGAGAGAUGGCUAGAAAAAUCUGAAGCUGGGAUGCCAUUGGUGGAGUGGAGAUAUCGGCACAGUUGGCGCAGCGAGAGCCUCAAGCCGGUGGAGAUAGCUCAGACUUGCCAUGUGGAGAGGGGCUAUUGGGUGCCGUUGAUUUUCUCGUGGCUGAGGAUAUUGAUGUCGCUGAUAUUUUUUACUCGGACUGGAAGUUGCUGUUUUAGCCGUCAGAAGCUGUUAAAAAACGGAAACGUCGUGAAGGGGAUUGAUCGCCUCGUCUUGUGUCGUGUAUGUUUAGCAGUUGUUGUUUUCACUGUAUUUUCUUGGUCCUCACCGUAUCGUGCGUGGAUGUCGGUAAGAACCUGUAGAAAUGAAAUUCGUGUGCUUCUGCUUCUGAACCGAAACUGCGUAGUGCCAGCUACUGGAGACUGGGACUGGAGGGUGCAGGCUUGAGACGGCGUCAGUUUUGGGCCUAGUGAAACCACGAGGAGGCAUGCCUCCGCGCUCAAGCAGCCAUGGGCCUCAUUGUACUGGGUUGCGCAGCCUUUCAGAGUGGGCCGGAAGCAGGUAGAGUGCGGCUCGUUAUCUCCAGAUACGCAGCAGCCCGUCGCCCCGUCCUCAAACCGUCUAGUCAAAGGAAAAAAAAAGUCCUCAGAUGAGUCCAUCGUGCAGACAUUGGACUCUAGCUGCUCCCACCGGAUCACCGCAAAACCAAAACGAAAAACCCACGGUACCGAUCGACCUGGGCCUGCGGUACAACCAAAGCCCAAAAAGGAACCCACGGAGCGGAGCCGCCCGGGCCCUGCACGCUAUAGCAAGCAACAUCGUCCGUCCGUUUACUUUCCGAGGCCCACCUUUCCCACAGCUCAGAUCCAAAGGAAUCACACGCGCCCGAGCUCUUGAGAAUUCCAGAUCACGCAAGGGCAGCAAGGCGGCCACCGCACGGCACGGCAGUCGGCAGGCAACGCCCUUCCCGCCGUUCCGUCCGUUGGUUCCCGGGCGGGAACGUGCGCCCCCUCGUGAUCCGGCUUUUGCUUGCCCACACGCACUCCCGAGUACUCCCGGCCCGACUCAAUUAUCUUCGUCGCCUCGCUUGUCCCAUCGCUUCUCUCGCUGUCACAACCCAGUCCCUUCCGGAACGCCAAAACAGUCCAACCAACUUCGUCUUCCAGAGCUCAGCCAGCCAGCCGGCCACCACCAAGCACCAACGCCGCCCGUCCCCGCUGCUACCAUGUCCAUGUCGCUGCGCCUCGCUCUCCCCUCGUCAGCGCCCGUGCUCCCGCCGCGGGUGCCGCUGCCCGCCGGGAAUGCCGCCCGUCGCCCCUCACCCUCCCCGGUCCUCGCCACCGCCGCCGCCGCCUUGCGGACGGGCGCGCUCAGGUGGGUUCCUCUGUCCUCGCCCGGGUUUCGCGCCUGCACUGACGCCCGCGUAAUCGGCCUCGUGCUCAUGGUGAUGCGUGACUGUAUGUAUGCAGGGGAUGCGCUUCGCUGCCGCUGAAGCCGCAGCCGCCGGGCAUGAUGAUCACGGGCGCGGGCGCGGGGCGCCGGGGGUCCGCCGCCGUGUGCCGCGCGUCGUCGGCGUACCUCAGCCCGACCACCAUGCACUGGGUCUCCGCCGCGGCCACCGCGUGAGUGCCCCCCCUCCCUCACUCAAAAGUACUCUGCCUUUUUGGGUUCACCAGCUCGGCAACUGUUCGCUCUUUUGCCUGCGAGGACCGUGGCUAACUGCUAGCAUCCGACUGUAAAAUGCGGGAUCCUCGUUAUAGAUUCUGCGGUCUGUUGAUGUCGCUUGCUCAAAAAUUUCAUGGCACGCUACAGCGACAAUUGGAGUACUACUUACUUUUCUUGAUCAAUGAUCACGCGCUGCUAAUCUUUCUAUAUAGCGAGUAAAAAGGACAUCAUGCGAUGCAAAAAUAUAUGAAUGCAGAGCACCAAGGUAAUCUUUCUUCUGUAGCUGUCGAUGUCGUGACUUGAAAUAGCACCACUACUUGUUUUCUUCUUGAGGAUGAAUAGGCAUGUAAAGUUGAACACAACACAAAGUACUUUCUGCAAACUCAGCUAGUGCUGCUGCCUGGUGAAAAGUUGUGCUGUGCAGUUUAUUUGGGUUUUCAGUGAAGUGAAAUGAUUUAGAUCGCCACGUAAAUACAGUGUUAAACUCCCAGUACCCUUUAAUGAUUUAAUGAUUGUUCUUUUUGCAGGGUGCUCUUGCUUGCUAAAGGCACAGGCAUACACAAAUCUUUCCUCGUGCCCCUGUUUGCUCUUCAAGCACCUAGCAGUGUGGUCUCAUGGAUCAAGUAAGAUGCUGCUAUUUGGUGCAGAGAAUUAUCUAUACCUUUUCCUUCUCUUUGUUUCUCAUUGAUGUUUGUUCGUUUUAAAAUAAGAACACUGUCUUGAGGGCCUACUUAUUCUAUGGCAUCAAUUCCUAAUUUUAGGAGUGACUAUGGACUGUGGACUGCUUUUCUUGCUCUUUUGGUGCGCUUGUUCUUCUCCAUUCCAGGUAGUGUAAAAUAAGAUUCAUCAUAUAAAGGUUCAAGAUGGUGUAGGCUUACAGUUACUUUAUACCUUCAUAUCACUAUCACAGGUGAACUGGAGCUCCCAUUAUCAGCAAUGCUGCUUCUGAACGUUGCUCCUUACCAGAUGAUGAAUCUGAGGUACAUCACAGUAUCACAUUGCACUGUUUGGAAAUAAGAUCUUAGCAUCACUAGAACUAGUGCAUCUGUCAAAAUUGAAUUCUAUGAAAAUAUCACCAUGGCAUUAUUAAUAACUCGUAUUAAUAUAUCGAUGUUCUCAAUGAAACUAACUUGAGUUACCAUCUCGCUAUCAUGUUUCUGUACACUACUGUGUCAUAUGUGAAUAGCAGCAAGUACAUCCAACUGACUAUUCAGGAACCACUCCAUAGAGUAUUUUAGGUUUUCAGUUUAUGUCCUGAUUCUGAAAAUUGUCAUUUACCUUUUUGCUCAUGUGCUCACUUUCCAUGUACAGGGGAACUCAAGGUGGUGCGAUAGUGUCUCUGGCACUAGCAGCGUAUCUUGCCUUUCAGCACUUCACCCGGGCCGGAGGUUUGGGGAGAGCCUUUGAUCAGGGAUCGAUAAUUGCGACCUUGGCCAUCAUCUGCGUCACAGUUAUCAACGUGAUCCUGCUGUUCUGAGUUGGAUCAAGUUGGCAAGAGUUCGCUGCCCCUCAUUGUAGGUGUGGAGGGGGAGCAGGAGGUACUCAGGAGUGCAGAUAAAUAAAACCUUGUAAUGCAUCAUCCUGACAGACUUCCAAGCCCGUUUCAUCGUAAUAAGAAUCUUUACUGCUACUUAACUUGCAGUUGCGUCCGUGGUGGCUCGUACGUCGUCCCAACUUCACAGAAAUUACGUCUCUAUGCCACCGUCCGAACUCCGAUUUGUUUCUUCUCUUUCGUGUUCUCGUGUCUCGCCCAGCCCGCUGCCCACGCGCCACCGCUCCUCCUGCCCUGCGCGCCGCUGCCACCACCCACCUGCCUCUCCUCGCGCUCCUCCUCUGCUCGCACCGCCACCGCCCCGAUCUCUCUCUGCCAGCGUUGUCUCCUCCUCCUCCUCGCACACACCCGCCCAGAUCCACCUCCACCUCCUCGCACACGGCCCGCCCUGAUCCACCUUCUCCUCGCGCGAGGCCGAGGAGCGCGAGGAGGAGGCCGAGAUGCGCGCCGAGGCUGCCGCCCGCCAGGCCGAGAUCCGCCUCCUCCUCAUUGUGCUGCCGCCGUGGGAGAGCCGUCCUCCGCCGCGCCGCGUCCCCGUGACGCCACCUGCUCUCCCCCUUCUCAACGCAUCGAGUGCCCGAUGCCGCCAGCCGAGGCAAGGGUGCUCGAGACGUCCGCGAUGACUGCUUCGAAGUGGGAGGCAUCAAUAUUGUGUGGUAAGGUGAGUUCUCGAUUACUGCUUCCCCAUCCUCUUGUGUAGAAAAAUCUUUGUUUCACUAUUCUUUGAUAAGUAUGUGUGAGUGUGUCUUAAUGGUUUCUUCUGUUGGCUCUUUGUAGACUCUAGCUCUUUGUAAUCUUUUGUGCUUUAUGGAAUCCAGUAGAAAAAUCGGCAUUAGGCUGAUUUUAACUGAUAUUUCAAUCUCUUUCAUGCCUUUUAUGUUUGUAUUUUCCUGAUUACUAAUGGUUCACUAGCGUCAAUUCCAUCCGGUUAUUUAAUCAAACAAUAGCAUCUGUAUCAUUGUUUUCUCUUUCACUUUUGCUUGUUUUAUUAGUCUGUCCUAUAUGUGCUAAUGCUAGAGCUUGAAGUCUCUGCUACUGGAUAUUGGCAUUGAAAGAGCAACAGGAAUUGUCUGGUCUAUCACUGGAGGCAAUGAUAUAACUUUGGUGGAGGUAUUCCUGACGUGUGUGUUUUUUCUGCAUAUAAACUACAGUGUGUGUGGGUAUACAUAGCUACCAUCAAAGUUUGUUUCCUACAUGUUAGUGAGAAUCGAAAAUUGCUGGCUUUCAUAGCUCCCUGAAAGUUAAUACAUUUUGAUCCAAUUGGAUAUAUGUGUGAAGUUAUAUGUGAACUGAAUCCAGUAUUAUUGAUUCACUUUCAGGUGAAUGCAUCAGCUGAAGUUAUAUAUGAUCUUGUUUUUCUUUUUUGAGGGAUUAUAUAUGAUCUUGUUGAUCCUAUUACAAAUAUGAUAUUUGGCUCUGUUUUAGACCCAUCAUAUGCUGGUCAAGUAAGUUAACAAAGCAUUUGGUCAAGUAAGUUGACUUGUCAUAUGAAAUCUCAUCUUUUGACUGUACAGCCUGAACUUCUAAUACAACGGCAUCCAUGCGGGGAAGAUGAAUAUGUGAAGUCAGUGGCCGAGUUAAUUGAGAAGGAGCUAUCAAUUUUUACAAAUUCUGAAGAGGUCUGUGCAUUCCCUUCUCCCUCUUUUUGUUUUUCCUUUACUAUUUUUUGUUCAUCAAAUGACUUUCUAUUCGAUUUUUGGUAAAGUAGAAGGUAACAACUGUUGUAGAUUGAACAUUAUCUUAGUGUUAGGCAUCCUGUUGAAUAUCUCUUAAAUAAGUAUCCCAUCUACUGAAUGAUCUAUCUGCGGUCCGUCCUGGCAUUCAUUUGCUUGUCUCCUUUUGUGAUGAUGCAGCGAAUUGAGGAAUCAACAGAUGAUUUUUUUCUGUAUUACAUUUAGUUGCUCUUUGCAUGAUUCCUUUUUUUUACCAGCUUUGCAUGAUUCUUUUGGCAUGGAUGUUGACUGGGAGAUGAAAAAUAUACUUCAUCCAGGUUGAAAAGACAAACAUGGUUCUCCUACUGUGCUCCGUUUUCCAUAUUGUCGUAAUAACACCAAUAUACUGAUAACUAAACCCACUAGAGAGAAAUGUUUAUUAUAAAUGUUUUAAGUUUAAUUCGCUAAACAAUCUGAAAAUUAUGUACAAUCUGUAUAAGUUGAGAUAUAUUAGAAUAGUUUGAUGAGCUAUCAUAACGAUCCAUCUUAAUUAGGACCAAGACUUUAGCUGGUUACCUAGGUUACCUGUAGUCAAAAUUGUUUAAGGCAAAUUGUAUCAAGGUUUGAUGGUUAGAUUGACACUCCAAUUGUUUCUGUUCAUAGAUCUAUCAUCUACAAAUACUUCUUGUGUUGCAGGUUAUGAGCUAUGGCAAUCUUCGUAGAGUUCAAAUGUUGUGGUUCGAUACAGAACAGAAAAAAGAAGUCUCUUUUCCUCUCAAGAUGAGAGUAAGUAUCGGCAAAAAAUAAUAAUCUCUUCGUAGCGAUGCAAUUUCUUAUCACUCAGUCAUGAUGCAUAUAAGAGUAAGGGGAAUGGGCUGAUUUUGUGUAUAUUCUACAUUUUACUUUUCAGUAGUAAUUAGAUGAUUUAUGAUUUUCUUACAUCUCUCAAGGGAAGAUGUUGAGGGAGACCAUAAGGACACUACACAUUAUGUUGCGAAGAUAAUAUUGCUUUCCUGCUCUUAACACAGGACACCAGAGCAUGCAUUACAAAAUAAAUAUUCGAUGAGGUAUGGACGGUUGUCUUGAUGUGUUUAAUUUUGCAUUCUUUCCAAUAAUUUUGUUGGAGAACACGAGUGUCUUGACUUGUUUCGGUACUCCAACAUGGAUGCUUUGUGAUAUUUACAAUUGUGAGAAGAGGAUCCAUGGCCAAGUUCUUCGAUAAUAAUCGUUCAUGUGGAAUUUUGGAUUGUAUAUUGGUCCAUUGUAUUUUUUUUCCUCUCAUAUUGUCACAAUUAUUGAUUAUAUGACUUGGACUAUGUACAUGUUCAUAAGCAGUGGUGUCUCCUUAUCUGAUGAGGAUGACCAUGCAUCAAUUUUUCAUGUUUGUCAUUCUUCUUGUUAAGUUCUAGAAUGCUCAUUUUUCCGUUGCAACGCACGGGCACUUAACUAGCAAGAAUGAUUUGUGAGUUGUGACAUGGCUGACAGAUCUUCAUGUAUGGUAUAGUUUUGGUCUAUUAGUGUUCAGUGCUAUUCUAUGAUUAAUAUUUGCUCCCGUUUGUUGAUCUUAUUGUUGGAUUUUGCACCAAGAUUUUGGUGUCAACAGGUCUCAGCAGAACGUUGGCUACCGACAGAUAACACAGGGCAAUUGGUCUAGAUUCUGUCAUACUUGUAUACCUUUUCUACUCCCUCUAGUCCAUAAUAGGCGCUUGGGUUUUGUACUAACUUAUUAUGGAUCGAAGAGAGUAUAAAAUAACUUCUAGCAUAGGGUCACGGACCUCGCCAAGACUGUGACGAGCCUAUGGGUCCGCUGGAUCUGAAGGAUGCGGAUUGACCCACUUCGUUUUUUGUGUGGCCUCGGUUGUGAUAUCCUCGCCCAAGCUCAAUAGAUUGAUAGAAAACCUUUGCUAACAAGGUGCAUCUUCUUUUCUGGAAUCUCGUCUCAAUAAAACAUCUCGGUUCAGCGUGCUUAGCUUGAAGCAAUAUUGGUUUGGCGACCUUGUGGGGCCAGUCUAGAGCAUAGAGAGCUACGAGGAAUAACUACUUGGUUGGGUGAGUUGACCGACGGAGCAGGAACCUCCGUCCAUAUAUGAGGCACUCUUGCAUUACUAGAUUCUCAAUUUAAUUAAUUAAAUAUGUAUGUUUUUUAACAAAAAAAAACACCAUUAGUCCUUAUCAAAAGAACUUUCUAAUGAUUUUUUUAUUAUUUAGUUUAUAUUUAUUUAGCUAAAUUGACAAUCUAGUGAUGCGUGUGUGCCUCAUAUUAUGGGACGGAGGGAGUAAGCUCCUUAUUAACAGACUUCUGGUUAUGUUCCAGAUCUUGUUGCUGGCUCCUCUUACGGAGUUAUGGCAUCAAACUCUCGAAGCUGAAUUGGAAAUCAUGGGCUCCUAGUGGGUGAAGUUUUUCAUUUAUCUCUCUUGUUAGAACAUUGUUGGAUGACUGAGAGGGUGCCAAGAUGUCUGCGGCAACACGCCUUGAGGUGCUUGUUGUGCGACCAAUCAUUACAUCAUGGAUAGGGGCGGAGCCAUGAAAAAUUUGUAUGGGGACCAAGGUACAAAAAUACAUAGCUUAUAGUAUAAAAAACAUGUUGGUCCUGUGGCUCGGUCAUUUACCAUGGAUCAUUUCCUUACCAGAUACGCGCACCCUCUACGUGAUGUGUUGUUAUCGAUCUGAUCCGUUGCUGGUCCCUCUGUAGCGAAGACGUGUUUGUUAAAUGGUGGCACUUGAUUGUGCGGUACUUCUUGAGUGCCUCACGAAAGGUCACCUCGUCGAUCAUUUUGCUCAUGGCGUGGUGGAUCCAUAAGUACCGUCACGCAAUCGUCUUCGACAAUAUUUGACCCGACUUGAAUUGAGGCUAGUUAUAGCGUGAUUUCAUAAAAUUUCAAACUGAAUUCUUAUACCUAAUUCUGUGCCAAACAAGUUCAUUCUAAAAUCGUAUGAAAAUUUGAGAAUUAUAGAUCGAAAUGGCAGAUGCGAGUUUUUUUUUUUUAAACUUAGAUGCGAGUUGUCUGGCUGUCUUUUUUGCACAUGGGCCAGACAGAGCUAAUUUAUUUUCCUUGACACGCCCUCUCUCUUCUGCCCAUCUCGGUGCCGAGCGCCCCAGCCCCCUCGCUCCGUCGGUCGUCUUCCUCCUCGAGCGCCGCCACCCCUUCCUCUCCAUCCCGCUGCCGAGCGGCCCCAGCCCGUCUUCCUCCUCGCGCGGGCGUGUCCACCGCAGGUUGAUCUCCCCUUCGAUUCUUCCGCUCCCGGCCGUUUCUCCUCCCAUCACCCCACGAACGGAUCCCGCACCUUUAGCUCCCCGUUUCAUCUCCUUAAUCUUCCCCCAAUUCGUAACUGAGGGGAAAAUCAAGGUAGGGCGGGGCCGCCCUACUGGGUCCUCCGCCCGUGACGUCUGUUCCAGUACUAUUGUGUUACAUCGAGUGUAAUUUUGCCUGGUUAUUUGACCUGGAUUGUUGGAUUGUUGGAUUGAAUAGUAGUACUUCACAGCCGUGUUUUCUAGCAAGGUCAACAUCUCCUUUCCUGUUACUGAGCGUGCAAUCUGGGUUAUCGUAAAUUUCCGUAAGUGGAGAUAUUUGAAUAGUUCAGUUUGGCUUUGUUACUUAUGUACUGGAAAACCUCGUGCGUGCCAACAAACUAAUUCAAAACAUGUAUGUGAUAUACAAACUCUUUCUUCGCGGUAUAUGCAAUAUUGCAGUUUUUUUCAUGGGGUUUGUGUGGUACGUCAUAAAUCUUAAGUGACUGGACUUGUUAUGUACUUAUGUCAUUUAGCAUUUUUGUUUUACCAGAGUGUGGUAAAUCAUCAGUGCUGUAUUUAUACUUUCUGGAUUCAUUGACAUUGAGUACCUGGAAGUCUUGGGAGCAAUUUAUGGCAUUUAUAUAGUAGUACAUGUUGAUCUUCAUUCAUUCAGUCCUCUGAACUGUUAAGAACAAUGGCCUUGUCCAAAAGAUUCCCACCUUUUCAGUUUCAAUGUGUCCCACUCUUAGUACCCGACCGGCCUACUAUCUUGGUGUAAGAUAUACCAAACCAAUGUUAAGUUCAACGUUAGGACUUAGAACAUACUUCUGAGACCUGUUAAAGAACUGGGCCUGUAAACUUGGCAUCUGGUUCUUUUUUCCACACACAAAAAAUAAACAAUUGAGAUACCCAUGAAUGGUUUGUGCACUAUCCAUCUCUCCCUUUUUCAAAAGAUAAAUUUUGUGCAUGUCCUUUACAUUGGUUCCCUAGUACUCCCUCCGUUUCAUAUUAAAUGACUCAAAUUUGUCCAAAUAUGGAUGUAUCUAUGCCUAAAAAGCGUCUAGAUACAUGUAAUAGAAAGUCACUUAAUAUGGGACGGAGGGAGUAGUUACUUAUGCUAACAUGUUCAUCAUAACUGCUACAUUAUGGUUCAAAUGUGAAUAUAUUUUCCAGAAUAUGUUUCAGAUUUCCUCUCCAAUUUAUGUAUGUACUGCUGUGUAUGUAUGCUAAAUAUUUGGUGGCUUUGAGAUUAGUUAGCUGAUAAGAAAUUGAUCUCCUUGUAGCUUGUUUGGGCAUCUGUUCGUGCAGUAUGUCGGGGAAGCCAUCUGAUGAUAUGGCUGGUCAAGUGAGGCCUGAAGGAGAUGUUUCAGACGUGAAAGUAGAAACUGCCAACCAGAAUAAAGGAACUGAUAUGCCUUCACCACAGGAAGAGGUAUCAUCUUUUGUUAACAAUCGUAACGUUUAUUUAUCCUUUAGCAUUUAUGUAUACUUACAUGCUAUCAUUUGUAUUAUUUUGCUAAUUUAGCUUACAUUUUAAGACUGCCAAUAUUAUAUCCAUAACCACGAUGUAACUUAACCGGAUACUUGCAGGAGGCAGCAAUCAAGAAAAAAUAUGGUGGAGUACUGCCCAAAAAGUCACCACUUAUAUCCAAGGUAUCAAUGGCUUAGUAUAUUACUACGUUCUGCCAUAUAUACAAUUUCAUCAUCUGUUUAUAAAGCAGUAAGGGAAGUUAAAUUAUUUUUAGCUCCAUAUCCAUAUAAUUUCAUCUGCAUUAUGUCUAUCAGGAUCAUGAGCGAGCUUAUUUUGAUUCUGCUGAUUGGGCUCUGGGCAAGGUAUCGUACUGUUAUUUUGAAAAGCUAAAAGUAAAACUGAUAUUUGGAAGCAAUGUUAACUCUUACACUACAAUCUUGCUCCCUUGAUCCUUGGUUUCCUGCAGCAAGGAGGACAUCCUAAACCUAAAGGACCACUUGAAGCACUUCGACCAAAAUUACAGGUACUGACUGAAACUCUCCCUCAUUGCUUGGUACUCAUGAGAAUGUACUUGCCUUGUAUUUUGCUACCGUAGAGACUUAAUUUUUCUAUGGCAUUAGCUGCUAGCUGUUUGAUUAGGGUAUUUGGUGUUUUUUCAUUCUAAUAAUCAAUAGAGUUCAUGUCCAUAUUUUUUCUGUUGUUUGGCCCAGUAUUUAAACUGGAUUGAGUUUAAAUGAAAAGUCCCCUUCAUUGUUGUCUUUUUUUUUUUUGCUUAAGAGGCUCAUUUGUAGGCGAAUGUAGUGAUAGUUAUGAAGUUAACUUAUGCUAUACCAUACUCAUUUGUUGGCUUACAUCUUUAUCAAUUUUGUUACAGCCUACUCAACAGCAAGCCCGUUCACGUCGAUUUCUUCAUGCAUCUGCUGACAAUGAAGGUACUUGAUGUUACAAGAUGUCAAGCAAGAAAUCCUAAAUGUUUAUUUUGUCAUCGAUUCAAGCGUCACUUUUGCCUUGCAGAGGGGGGCAAUUCACCCACUGAGGCUACGAGCCAGAACCAGGAUUCCACCGAGGGCAAGGACGAGAGCAAGGAAUGAGUACAUGACGAGUAGCUCCAUGUUUUUUCCCAAACUGAACCAUGCCGUUUGAUAAGCCCGCGCCAUUUUGUGGCUGUAGUAAUAAGUACUCUAAUGCCCCUUAAUGCUCGCUGAAUUUUGAACCGCAUUGGAGACAUGCCGCGUCUACUGCGUUCUGCUGUUCCAUGUCUUGUACCUGUAACGAUUUGUGAUGGAAUUUGGAACAUUUUCGUGGCACUGAGUGUCUGCGCAGACAAAAUAAAAAUGUGAGCCUGUGAGAUGUUUCUUCCUUGUGCCACUACUGAUGAGUAGAACCAGAUUCCCUGAAACAAAAAAGAUGAGUAGAACCAGAUUCUUCUAACCUGCGGUGCUUGUUUCUUCUGGUGCUGCGCUGAGACGGUUCAUGUCUGAUGUUCGAAACCUGGGUGCCUGGCAAUAUCUGAACUAUUGAUGUUUUCCCGACUGCUGUAGGUUACGUAUUAUAUUUGAAUUUCAUAGGAUUUCAAGAGUUAUCAUGUAGGAGUAACUCAGUUUGGCGCUAUGGGAGUUUGUUGUCUUUGGACUCGUAGUUUUGCGAAAUUGCUGAUUUUCAAACAUGUUCCUUGACGAAUUUUCGAAACACAGUCCCAUCAUCGAAUCAAACAAAAACUGGAGCAAGCAUUGCUCUUUUAUUUUUGGAGAGGGGAUCAAGCAUUGCUAAUCGCCACCAAUCUGGAUGAAUCUCUGGAGUUUGACACGCCCUGGUCAAGCAUGUUGAGGAACCAACGACGGGGUGGGGUGGCCACCGAGUCGUGCACCCCCACCAAUCCCCCUGUUGACUCAUUUCUCCAUCUAAUAGUUUGUUGUGGACUCUUAUUCAUUGAGCCUAUAUAAAGAAGAGGAGGCUACCCCUCGUACGUACACUUGAGAUCAGAAAUUAAUAAAGAGCUCAUGUUCCUCUCUACUUGGUGUUCAUCUACUUUACUGUACUUCAUGAUUGUGCGUGUUUGAUUAGGAUCUUGGUGUGCAACCUCAGGACCGGUCAGCCGGCAAGAGUUGCACAACACGUUAUCAGCACGAGUCUCUACCCCCAGCCUUCAUCGAGCCUACUCCACGCAGGCUCUCGACAUAAAUCACGGAGGUAUUGGAUCCGAAAUUUUAUUGCAAAAAUGGAUUCCUCUUUGUGUUACGAUUCCGUUUUUGCUAUUAGAUUAUCUUUCGGAUUUUUCUACCCACGGUAUGGAAUUCCCUCGCGAGAUGUUGCCGACCAAGUCGCCGGCCAAUGCCGAUCAUCCUCGCCGCAGGAGGGACUUGUUGACCAUAACCAUGGGGAGACGGUGUCGCACUGUUGUGCUCACCGCCGGCCACCGCAGGCUCCAUGCCGCGAGCCGUCCCAAGCCACCCCAUGGAGCCGCUGCAGUGGAGCACGCCGUCGAGCGCUGCUCCUAGGCGCUGGCCUGGCCGCUGCUCCGAAGUCGUCACCUCACGCACGACGCCGCACCAGCUGCUUCAAUGCACGAGCGCUGCCCUCUGGAUGUGCGCGGGCUGCUGCAAGCACUGGCCGUGCGGGAACUGCCGCUGGCCACGAGCACCUCCGCUGAGUGCCGCUGCUAGAUAUCGCGCCUCGCCAACGCUGCCGCCAGACAUGUUUGGGCGUGUGUCGCCGCGUGCCCCCGCGUGCACUGCAGUCCCGAUGCCAUCGAACCGGUGGCCGUCAGGCUCCGCCGCGUUGGUGCGAGGCCUCGCUGCGCACCCCUGCUGGCGCUGCCGGCCCUGGACGCGCGCACCGCCCGGGCCGCCUCAGGAGCGUGCCAGGCACGAGCGCGUGCCGCCGCCGCCGUCCCCACCUUGUGCGCAGGCUGCCGCUCAGGCACCGCCGCCGCGCCUCGACAACCCCCGUGCGCGGGGCCGCCGCCGUCGCUCCAUUUGCGGGCACGAGCGCGCGGGCGCAGGCCGCCACUGAUGCCGCCUCAGUCGCGGGCACAGGCCGCCGCCGCCACCCAAGGAGAAACCCUAAUGAGGGCUGGCGCGGCUGGGCUGGGCCAGGCGAGGCAGGGAGUUGGGCCACCGGCCCAAUAGGCGAGCGGGCGGGCCAGAUUCGGUCUGGGAUGGUAGAUUUGCAUUUCGGCCCUUGGUCUUUCUGUAAUUAAGCGCAUUGUUUACUGUGCUGCGUUUUGCGACUAAGGCCUUGGAAUUGUCAGUUUUGGCUGAAAUCUCGUAUUUUGGCUCAAAAUGGCUUCAGGAAUGUGUUUUUGGGGCUAAUUUUCAUGUUUAGGAAACGUUUAACUUGCCAUCUCUAUGCACAUGCUUGUAUUACCAUGUUUUACCGUUGUUGAUUAAUUGUAAAUAUGCUUUAUUGCUUUUAAUUAUUAAGUAAGACAUGAACUCGUAUGUUUUAAAUAUUGGAACGUUGUUAUGAACAACUAUAUCAUUUUAUCACAUUUAUGCGCUGGGUUACAUGAGGUUACCUCGAGAUUAUAUGUUGAAAUCUCGUAAAAUUUCGCAUUAAUGAUAUGAAUCACAAACCUGCAGUUCGAGGAGCCGACCUAAAAUGGUUGGACUUGAUUUUUGGAUGUGGAUUUGUUCUCGGAGCUUGGUAGCUUUUGAGGAGGUUGAUCGGCUUGGUGUCUUGUUGACUACCGCCACCACCCUGCGAGGAGAACAUUUAGGCAUUGCACCAUCCCUUUGUACUUUUGGACAAGUACAUACAUGUUGGGAAAGUGUUAUGCUUUACCAGAUGGUCCUGGUUCCACAUGUGUUGUUCAUCCUCGCAUGUCAUAAGUAUUUUCAGGUUAUGUAAUAGCGCGAGGUUUAACCUCGCUAUAACUCAGAGGGGGAGGCGCAAAAUGGAAGCACUAACUGAUUCUAUUAAGCUUGGCCAACCCCCGUUGAGUUUGUGCUAUGUGUGCUUUCACACACGUCUCUCCCGACUAUUGCUACCGUGAUAGCUGAUAAUGGGAUGAGGCCAUGCCGAACUGUGACAUAUGCGGAGGAUGAGGACACCAUCGUCAAGUGCACUUGGCCCUCCUAAUGAUUCAUUUGUCAAUUGAUUUUGAUGAUUCUAUGAUAUAAAAUCACCUGAGGUGGUUGUAUAUGCUCUGAGCAAGCAAAACUUGUUCUUUCAACGCUAGGAUGAUUUGUGAGUUCAUCCAUUAAUUCCUUUAUUUAAUACUGAUGGCCUGUUAUGUUCUGAAAUAUGUAAUGCAUUUACUUAAUUAUGUUGCUACUUCCUCGCUUCAUAAAAUAAUUAGAUGCUAUAUUUUAGAACACGUGGCGCUCGAAUGGAGGAAACAUGCCUUGUGGAUAGUUGUACCACAAACACCAUCUUGAGAGAAACUCAUUAUUUCGAGUCCAUUAAAAAGAUUCCGAGGAGUAUAAUGACUAUCGUAGGGGGCGAGUCAAAAAUAGUAGGCUCUGGACGAGCCACUAUCAUACUCCCCAUGGGAACCACUUUCCUCAUUGAGGAAGCAUUAUUGUACUCAGAGUCGACUCGGACUCUCUUGAGUUUUAAGGACAUCCGCGCAAACGGCCUCCAUGUGGAGACCGAUGAUGAUAAUGGCAAAGAGUGCCUACUUAUCACAAAGCGCGAUGCCCACGGUAAGCACGUUGUUGAAAAAUUCCCUUCAUUCGACAAUGGGCUUUACUACACUAAGGUUGUAGCGCCGCCCGUGUACACUACAUUGUCGUAUAAAGUCUAUUCGAAUGGACAACGCUGGAGAAUUUUCUUCAAAAGACUAUAUUUAGAAGUUCUGAACUAUUUUGCUUAUGGCAUGAUAGAUUAGGCCACCCGGGUAUUAGAAUGAUGUGAAAUAUAAUUAACAACUCAAAUGGGCAUGGGGUGAAUGUUAAAAUUUUCCCCAAUCAUGAUGAUUUCGUGUGCUCGGCAUGCGCGACGCGGAAAUUAAUCAUUCGACCAUCACCAUUGAAAGUGAGGGAUGAAAUCCCUGCGUUUUUGGAACGCAUCCAAGGGGAUAUAUGUGGUCCGAUUCAGCCCCUUUCGGAGCCGUUUCGAUACUUCAUGGUGCUCAUAGACACUUCGUCUAAAUGGUCCUGUGUUAAUUUGUUGUCUACACGGAACCAUGCCUUUGCCAAGUUGAUGUCGCAAAUCAUACAAAUGAGGAAUAAUUUUCCGGAUCAUCGUAUAAAGUCUAUUCGAAUGGACAACGCUGGAGAAUUUUCUUCAAAAGCGUUCGAUGAUUAUUGUAUGGCACUUGCCAUUAAGAUUGAGCACUCUGUACCGCAUGUCCAUACGCAAAAUGGACUAGCGGAGGCAUUGAUUAAGAGGAUUAAAUUCAUUGCCAGACCACUCCUUCGGGGUUGUAAUUUACCAACCACGUGUUGGGGGCAUGCAGUGUUGCACGCCGCAAAUCUCAUCAACUAUAGACCCACGGCGUACAACAUCCAUUCACUUGUCCAACUAGCGCAAGGGUCGGCACCGAAAAUUUCCCACCUUCGUAGGUUCGGUUGCCAGGUAUAUGUACCGAUACCAGCCCCUCAGCGAUCAGCAAUGGGACCGCUCCGUAAGUCGGGGAUAUACGUUGGUUAUGAGACUGUGUCCAUAAUCAGGUAUCUAGACCCCAUGACAAGAGACUGUCAUACGGCCCGAUUUGCUGACUGCAUUUUUAACGAGGAUCUCUUCCCGACUUUAGGGGGAGGAAAUAAACCUCUUGAUGAGAAAAGCCGAGAAUUGACGUGGCAAGCCACGGGGAUCCACGCAAAUGACCCGCGCACAAGUGAGACACAUAGAGAAGUCCAAAAGAUAAUAGAUUUGCAUGCUUUAGCGAAUCAACUGCCUGAUCACUUUAGUGACUUGAGAAGUGUGACAAAAUCACAUGUGACUGCGCGCAAUGUACCGGAAAGGGUAGAGAUACCCAAGGAUCCUAUGGGUCUACCCGCUCGAGUCCAAAGGCCUAAAAGGACGAGAAAUCUGGUUCCUCAAAUCCCAAGUACUCGGGGACGCCCGACUGAAAGAUCGGUAUGGUCGACUGGGGGGGGGGGUGAAUAGGCGGCUAACAAAUUUUAUUUUUUCUUUUCACUUUUAAGGAUACAAGCAUCAAUACAUGGGUUCACUAAAACGUCUAAAUGAUGAACACCCUUAGUAUGAUGUAAUAGCCAAAGCACGAGCACAAGCAAUAGAUAAUCAAUAAAAACUUGCUUGAUAACCGAAGCACAAGAUAAACAAUUAAGCUUUGCGAGUAAGUAAAGGGGCAAGAAUGAUACCACACGGGGAGACGAAGAUUUCACCGGAGUUUCACCUAUUGGGGUCGGUGUACAUCUCCGUUUGGAGGAGUGCUCUACCACAAAGGUAGAGGCGCCACAAAGGCUCACUCUAUUCUCCAACUCACCACACCACAAAGGUGGGAUGAGCUCUCACAACACCACAAAGGUGAGGUGAUUUCCACUGGUGGCUUCCUUGAGGGCAAACGUCGAACCGUUACAAACAAGGAGAAGGGCACAACUUCACAACUUAAUUGGAGGCUCCUUCCCGAAUCCUCAAGCACCUCCUCACAAGAUUGGAGGCCUUGAAGAGACACCUUUCGGCUAGGGAUCCCAAAAUCCCAAGAGUAACAAAAUCCACGAAGGAAACAAGGGGAAUCAACUUUUUGCUUUGGUGAAACCCUAGAUCUAGAUCUCCUCAUCCAAUCCUCAAAGAAUCAACAAGGGGGGUAGCUCUAUGGAGGAAGAUAUAGCACUUUAAAGUUUUAGAAAUGGUGUGGAAAGAGUUGGGCUUCGGAUAAGUUCAUCCUGAGGUAGGGGAUGACUAUUUAUGUGGGUCCCGAAAUCUAACCGUUAUGCACUAAGUCUGGCAGGGGAGGAAGUUCCGGUCAUACACCGGAAGUUCCGGUACCCUGGAACUUCCGUCCUUGUUCCUGUCCAACCUCCGCCAAACACAAAUGAAUUCCAGUAGCAUCACGGAGGUGGGCCAGACGUUGGGUGGAAGUUCCGCCCUACUGGAGGUAGGCCGGCAGUUCCGGGCCUGGAACAGACCUGGCAACACAGUUAGACUUUGGGUGGCUCUCUCUCGGACGGGUAGGCUUUAUGUGGGUGCAAAUAUGGUAGUUUGUGUACGUGAAGUGGAUUCACCCAUUACCUUCCCAUGUGGACUCCCUCUUAAUAGUACGGAGUUCCUACGACUCAAUAUAAAUAAAAAGCCGCUAAACACCGCUACGCUUCUUUCCUUUUUGAAGGCAACGAACCGUCUUGUGCCAUAUGAUCUCAAAUCUGAAACACUCGAGCACACGGUUAGUCCACGAGUCAUGUUGUCAUUAACACCAAAACACUUAGGGAUCGAAUUGUCCUUUCACCGACGAAAAAGGACAAGGGGGAUUUGUCACACUCGGUUACUAAAUAGUCCCGAGAGAGUGAGGGGAGCCAAUUGAGACUUGGCACAAGUACGGAAUCUCCAGCGCAAGAAAUUCCGGACUUUAACCUUCUAACAGUGGAAGCACCCAGCGGAGAUGUGAGCGCACACAUCGGCGCAGAAAAACUAAAGGACCUUGCUCCAGGAAUGGGAAAUCCUAUGGAGACAGAGGAUGCGCAUGAUGCGCCCCAUGACGAAAUGGCCAUAGAUUAUGUUAACAUGGGAGAACCAAUAAACCGAGCGACUGCUAAUGUCGACAUAAACUUUGCUAAGAAAAUUGCCGCAAUCAUCGAUCUUGACCCCGAGCCUAACUCGCUCGCUGAUUGUAAGAAGAUGUCGGAUUGGAAAGAUUGGCAGAAGGCAAUAGCUACCAAAUUAUUAUCUCUACAGAAAAGAGAGGUUUUUGGACCUGUGUGCCGAACCCCUCUCCACGUACGCCCUGUCGGCUAUAAGUGGGUAUUUGUCCGCAAGAGAAAUGAAAAUAAUGAGGUAGUACGGUACAAAGCAAGGUUAGUUGCUCAGGGGUUUACUCAACGACCUGAGGUCGAUUAUGAGGAAACCUACUCCCCGGUCAUGGAUGGAAUUACCUUUAGAUAUGGACUUAAAAAUGAAAUUGAUGGAUGUUGUUAUAGCUUACUAUAUGGUAACUUGGAUUCGGACAUUUAUACGAGGAUACCUGAUGGUCUUCCGGUUCCGAACCAAGACAGAGCAAACAGAGGUCUAUACAAUGUUCAACUCAGGAAGUCACUGUACGGACUUAAACAGUGGGGUAGAAUGUGGUAUAAUCGCCUGAGCGAUUUUCUACAUGAAAAGGGCUAAACGAGCAAUGAAGAUUGCCCAUGUGUAUUUAUACGGCGAUCCCAAGAUGGAUUCUGUAUAAUCUCGGUAUACGUAGAUGAUUUGAAUAUCAUCGGUACGUCUGAGGAUAUUGAGGAAGCAAGUUCCUACUUGAAGUCGGAAUUUGAGAUGAAAGAUUUGAGUAAAACCAAGUUCUGUCUAGGUUUGCAACUGGAACAUUCCCAUGAUGGGAUUCUAGUGCACCAGUCUACCUACACUCAAAAGGUGUUGGAAAGAUUUGGAUUUGACAAGGCAUAUCCUUCAAAGACUCCCAUGAUUGGGCGGUCAUUACAGCAGGACACGAACCCUUUCAGUCUGAAAGAAAAGGUGGAGGAAGUUCAGAAUUUCCUUACCUGAGUGCUAUUGGAGCGCUCAUGUACCUCACGAAUUGUACAUGACCGGACAUUGCGUUCGCCGUCAAUUUGCUGGCUAGGUACAGCUCUGAACCUACCAAAAGGCAUUGGAAAGGUGUUAAGAAUGUCUUUCGGUACCUGCAAGGGACCAAAGAUCUUGUGCUAUUUUAUAGAAGAAAUCAAGACCUAUCUUUGAUAGGCUAUGCCGAUGCUGGGUAUUUGUCGGACCCGCAUACAUCCAAGUCUCAGACUGGAUAUGUUUUUCUAUGUGGUGGAACAGUUGUUUCAUAAAAAUCGUCAAAGCAAAGUCUUGUAUCGACUUCGACGAACCACUCGGAAAUCAUAGCACUAUAUGAAGCAUCACGUGAGUGUGUAUGGCUUCGACGGAUGGUUCGCCACAUUCAGCAGACCUGUGGGAUGAACACCGUCCAGACCCUCACCAUUAUCUAUGAAAAUAAUGCAGCUUGUGUUGCACAAGUACAAACGGGUUAUGUGAAGAGUAAUCUCACCGAGCAUAUAAAUCCUAAGUUUUUCUAUGCACAUGAGUUGCAAAAGAUGAAUGAGGUAAAGGUCUUGCAUACUAAGUCGUGUGAAAAUCUUGCUGAUUUGUUCACCAAGUCACUACCGGCAUCCACCUUUGAAAGGUGUGUGCGUGGAAUCGGUAUGUUGAGACUUAGGGAAAUGCAAGGUUCAGGGGGAAAUACUUCACAUACUCAUCGAUAAAUCUUCACAGACCUGUGGUUUUUAACGAGGCAAUCUAUGCAACAUAGCAACGUAUCUUAUGCGCUCUUUCUCCAUGUGUUUUUCCCACCGGGUUUUUUCGGAGUUUUUGAGGCAUAUGGUAUACGGGUAUCGGCCCAAGGAGGAGUGUUGAGGAGCCAACGAUGGGGUGGAGUGGCCACCGAGUCGUGCGCCCCCCACCAACCCCCUGUUGACUCGUUCCUCCACCUAAUAAUUUGUUGUGGGCUCUUAUCCAUUGUUUCUAUACAAAAGAGAGGAGGUUACCCCUUGUACGUACACUUGAGAUCAGAAAUUAAUGAAAAGCUCAUGUUCCUCUCUACUUUUUGAUGUUCAUCUAUUUUACUGUGCUUCGUGAUUGUGUGUGUUCGAUUAGGAUCUUGAUGCAACUUCAGAACCGGACAGCUGGCAGGAGUUGCACAACAAAGCACAAUCCAGGCCAGACUCCAGGUUAACAAAAGCUUGAGAACGGGCCGGAAUCGGGUGCUUCUGACAUGUGGGCCGAACUCCCGGUCGAAGAAGCCCUUUUAAGCACUAGAGAAAUAAAUAUUCGUUUUCCCGAGCCCUAAAGCCCCCUUUUCCUCUUUCCGCAUCGCGAACCCUAACCGAACCCUUGCGCCGCCGCUGCCGCCUCCGUCCGGAUCCAAGCCGCCGCCGACCGCAACCAUGGGCUUCGACGUGGGCGUCGUCCCCUUCAACCCCGACGGCUGGGGCCCUCCUGAGACCCCGGCCGCGCCGCCGUCCCUGGGCGGUGCCACCGCCACGGCCUCCAUCCCCUUCGCGCCCUUCUCCCGCUCCGAUAAGCUGGGCCGCAUCGCCGACUGGACGCGCAACCCCGGCGGCCCCGGGAUGCACCCCGCCGCCUCGCGCGACUCCGUCUUCGACUUCACCUCCGCUGACGACUCCCUCGCCGCCGCGGCCGAGGACUCCUCGUUCCACCUCGUCGACGCCAAGCCGCCGCCGCGACACCCGCGCUUCGGCCCCAAGUGGCGCUUCAACCAGCGCCCGCAGCUCCCCCAGCGCCGCGACGAGGAGGUCGAGGCCAAGCGCCGCGAGGCCGAGAAGGAGCGCGCCCGCCGCGAGCGCCACUACCAGAACCACCGCUCGCACCACCACCAGGGCUUCCGCGGCAACCAGUCCUCCUCCGCCAAGCCUUCCGUCGACAUCCAGCCCGACUGGACCAUGCGUGAGCAGAUCCCCUUCGCCAACUUCACCAAGCUCUCCUUCACCGUCAACGACCAGCCCGAGGAUCUCCUCGUCUGCGGCGCCGUUGAGUUCUACGACCGCGCCUAUGACCGCGUCAACCCCAAGGCCGCCCGCCGCCUCGAGCGCUUCAAGUCCCGCAACUUCUUCAAGGUCACCACCACCGACGACCCUGUCAUCCGCCGCCUCGCCGAGGAGGACAAGGCCACGGUGUUCGCCACCGAUGCAAUCCUGGCUGCUCUCAUGUGCACGCCUCGCAGCAUCCUGUCAUGGGACAUUGUCGUGCAGCGCGUUGGGAACAAGCUCUUUUUUGACAAGCGUGAUGGCUCUCAGCUCGAUCUGCUCACUGUAAAUGAGACUGCCCAGGAGCAGCUCCCUGAGAAUAAGGAUGACAUCAACUCGGCACAUGCUCUUGCGGUCGAGGCGACCUACAUCAACCAGAACUUCUCGCAGCAGGUGCUUGUUCAUGAAGGCGAGAAGGUUACCUUUGAUGAGCCUAACCCGUUUGCAUCUGAGGGCGAGGAUGCGGCAUCCAAUGGCUACCGCUAUCGCCGCUGGAAGCUGGAUGAGGAGAUCAGCAUUAUUGCUCGCUGUGAAGUGCAUGCUGCCAGUGCUGAUGCAAGCGGUGGUCGCCAGUUCUUCACGCUCAAUGCACUCAAUGAGUUUGAUCCUAAGAUUACUGGUGUUGACUGGAGGCAGAAGCUUGAGACCCAGCGCGGGGCUGUGCUUGCUACAGAGCUCAAGAACAAUGCCAACAAACUUGCUCGCUGGACUUGCCAGGCUUUGCUUUCUGGUGCUGACAUGAUGAAGUUGGGUUAUGUGUCACGAGUUCACCCCCGUGAUCACUACAACCAUUCCAUACUCACCGUGAUGGGGUACAAACCAAGGGAUUUUGCUGCACAGAUCAACCUCAACACUGCAAACAUGUGGGGUAUUGUCAAGUCAAUUGUGGACAUAUGCAUGAAGUUUGAAGAAGGCAAGUAUGUGCUUGUGAAAGAUCCUGCGAAGCCACAGGUGAGGAUCUACUCGGUGCCUAAUGAUGCAUUUGAGAAUGAUUAUGUUGAAGAGCCACUGCCGGAGGAGGAGCAGGUUCGGUUACCUACAGAUGAUGUCGACGCCACUGCAGAGGAGAUGGACGCAGCUGCUGAGGCAGAGGCCAAUAAAGCUGCCACAGGCGGUGUGGGUGAGAAGAAUGCCGAAGCUACUGUUGCCUGAAGGGUAUAAUUGGUUAUCUUGCCUUCUCUAGAUAUAUGUCUUCUCUGGUUUAUGAUCUGUUUUGAUGGGUUACUUGAAGAGUUGAACUGCGUGGUAUCGAUACUGUGUUCUCGUUUUGAUCUAUCAGAAAACUGUUGAUUUUCAAUUUUUAUGCUUGGAUGUGCUAAAUUUGUUAGCACCUAUCGAUUGGAUUUAAUGACUAUGCUGGCAGUUUAAUAUCACUUCUAGUGGUUUAUCGACGAUAUUUUUUUCAGCAAGCGUGUAUGCUCGAGUGUUUUUUCAAUCUUUCAUGGAAUGCCUUGGUUCUCAGAAACGUCUAGAUUGCAUUAAGUUAUAUUGCAGUGGAUCAAUUUGUAAAUCAUGUGCUCUGUUGGCCUGAAUAUGUUGCUACUGGAGUCCUGGUCCAUCCUACUUAGAAUCUUACAAGUAUAGGGUUUCAAUCUUUCCAACUUGAACAGACCAGACUUGUACUAGCAAACGGGUAGAUCCAAGUCCAUCAGGUUUUGGCUUGCUCAUGUUGCACGGGCUGCUAGUUUUGUUUUUCUGCUAGAUUUCAGUAUUGCAUAUCACAUCAAUAAACUGUUGUGUUUUGGAUUGAAACGAGUAUGAUGGAUCAGGCAGCUCCAUCACAAGGAUUUCAGGUCCCUUCCCUUAGAAUUGUACUUCGAAUUCUCAUUUUUCAGUUUCAUGCUGCUAUGCAUCCAGUAUGCUUCUGAGUGCUGGUUAGAUGCAAGUCAACUGUGCUAUAAGCAAGUACUCGCUCCGUUCCUAAAUACUUGUGGCCGUUUUAGUUCAUGUUUGCACUAAAACAGCAACAAGUAUUUAGGAACGGAGGAGCUACCUUGUAGCUUAUCCUACUAACACUAUUAAACUGAAGAGUAUGUUCUGUCCUGUCCAUUGCUUCAGUUCCAAUUCUAGCAGCAUUGGAGAAUACGAAGUGGGGGUUCCUGUAUUUAGUAUAGGAGUUCACUCAUAGUCUUUUAAGCGUGAGGUGUGGCCGUGAGCCUGUAUAGAAUACAAAUAGUGCCAGCCAGCCAAACCAAGCUAGUUCAAGAGGAUCAAAUGGGUAUUUUGGGGCUAAAAGCACAAAUUCAGGCCUGCUCUCUGUUCACUCCCGGGUUAUGCCAAACCUUUGACAGCAUGGAGAGAAGAGCCUGCGCCGUUGUUUGCAAAUCAGAACGCUUCGGUUGGGGGGCCUGGGGGCUCGCAUGAGGAAAAGGUUUCAUGGAGAAUUCAGAAGAAGCGAUAGGCCAGGUUACUCUGAUUCUUCAAGCUUUAAAAUUGCCUCCGUAAUGCUCCUUCAGCACUGAAGAAUCCUGGCCUAAGCAAUAGAACUGAAGAAUCAUGCGUUAUGUAUGACCCCGCUUCAAAGCAAGCCGUGCCUUUCAGUGUAGCUGUCACACGCCAUUCAUUCAGUGCCCCCUCG
rnacentral:lncRNA from 1 species